GAAGCCUAACUCCCAACCCCUGUGACAUACCAAUUGUUGCCUCGGCGGAUCAGCCCGCUCCCGGUAAAACGGGACGGCCCGCCAGAGGACCCCUAAACUCUGUUUCUAUAUGUAACUUCUGAGUAAAACCAUAAAUAAAUCAAAACUUUCAACAACGGAUCUCUUGGUUCUGGCAUCGAUGAAGAACGCAGCAAAAUGCGAUAAGUAAUGUGAAUUGCAGAAUUCAGUGAAUCAUCGAAUCUUUGAACGCACAUUGCGCCCGCCAGUAUUCUGGCGGGCAUGCCUGUUCGAGCGUCAUUUCAACCCUCAAGCCCCCGGGUUUGGUGUUGGGGAUCGGCGAGCCCUUGCGGCAAGCCGGCCCCGAAAUCUAGUGGCGGUCUCGCUGCAGCUUCCAUUGCGUAGUAGUAAAACCCUCGCAACUGGUACGCGGCGCGGCCAAGCCGUUAAACCCCCAACUUCUGAAUGUUGACCUCGGAUCAGGUAGGAAUACCCGCUGAACUUAAGCAUAUCAUAAGGCCGGAGGAAUUCCUCCCAUUUCC
rnacentral:rRNA from 1 species